GACGAACGCUGGCGGCGUGCUUAACACAUGCAAGUCGAACGGAAAGGCCCUGCUUUUGUGGGGUGCUCGAGUGGCGAACGGGUGAGUAACACGUGAGUAACCUGCCCUUGACUUUGGGAUAACUUCAGGAAACUGGGGCUAAUACCGGAUAGGAGCUCCUGCUGCAUGGUGGGGGUUGGAAAGUUUCGGCGGUUGGGGAUGGACUCGCGGCUUAUCAGCUUGUUGGUGGGGUAGUGGCUUACCAAGGCUUUGACGGGUAGCCGGCCUGAGAGGGUGACCGGCCACAUUGGGACUGAGAUACGGCCCAGACUCCUACGGGAGGCAGCAGUGGGGAAUAUUGCACAAUGGGCGGAAGCCUGAUGCAGCAACGCCGCGUGCGGGAUGACGGCCUUCGGGUUGUAAACCGCUUUCGCCUGUGACGAAGCGUGAGUGACGGUAAUGGGUAAAGAAGCACCGGCUAACUACGUGCCAGCAGCCGCGGUGAUACGUAGGGUGCGAGCGUUGUCCGGAUUUAUUGGGCGUAAAGGGCUCGUAGGUGGUUGAUCGCGUCGGAAGUGUAAUCUUGGGGCUUAACCCUGAGCGUGCUUUCGAUACGGGUUGACUUGAGGAAGGUAGGGGAGAAUGGAAUUCCUGGUGGAGCGGUGGAAUGCGCAGAUAUCAGGAGGAACACCAGUGGCGAAGGCGGUUCUCUGGGCCUUUCCUGACGCUGAGGAGCGAAAGCGUGGGGAGCGAACAGGCUUAGAUACCCUGGUAGUCCACGCUGUAAACGGUGGGUACUAGGUGUGGGGUCCAUUCCACGGGUUCCGUGCCGUAGCUAACGCUUUAAGUACCCCGCCUGGGGAGUACGGCCGCAAGGCUAAAACUCAAAGGAAUUGACGGGGCCCCGCACAAGCGGCGGAGCAUGCGGAUUAAUUCGAUGCAACGCGUAGAACCUUACCUGGGUUUGACAAGGAUCGGGAGUGCUCAGAGAUGGGUGUGCCUCUUUUGGGGUCGGUUCACAGGUGGUGCAUGGCUGUCGUCAGCUCGUGUCAUGAGAUGUUGGGUUAAGUCCCGCAACGAGCGCAACCCUUGUUCACUGUUGCCAGCACGUUAUGGUGGGGACUCAGUGGAGACCGCCGGGGUCAACUCGGAGGAAGGUGGGGAUGACGUCAAGUCAUCAUGCCCCUUAUGUCCAGGGCUUCACGCAUGCUACAAUGGCUGGUACAGAGAGUGGCGAGCCUGUGAGGGUGAGCGAAUCUCGGAAAGCCGGUCUCAGUUCGGAUUGGGGUCUGCAACUCGACCUCAUGAAGUCGGAGUCGCUAGUAAUCGCAGAUCAGCAACGCUGCGGUGAAUACGUUCCCGGGGCUUGUACACACCGCCCGUCAAGUCAUGAAAGUUGGUAACACCCGAAGCCGGUGGCCUAACCGUUGUGGGGGAGCCGUCGAAGGUGGGACUGGUGAUUAGGACUAAGUCGUAACAAGGUAGCCGUACCGGAAGG
rnacentral:rRNA from 1 species